rnacentral:rRNA from 1 species
CAAAAACAUAGCUAUUAGAUAUAAUUAAUAGUAAUUUCUGCUCAAUGAGUUAUUAAAUAGCCGCAGUACCCUGACUGUGCAAAGGUAGCAUAAUCAGUUGGCUUAUAAUUGAAGUCUUGUAUGAAUGAAUCUAUGUGGAGUAUCUGUAUCAUAAAUAUAAUAUAAAAUUGCUAAGUAAGUGCAAAUUCUUACAAAGAAUUAAUAGACGAGAAGACCCUAGAAAUUUUUAGAAUAUAUUACAGUAAUGGUUUUUGUUGGGGCAACAGUGUAACAAAUAACUUACAUUAAUUACAUGAAAUGAAUUUGAUAGAUAAAAUUACUCUAGGGAUAACAGCGUAAUGUAUAAACGAUUGCGACCUCGAUGUUGGACUAGGACACGAAUG